rnacentral:rRNA from 1 species
AGUAAAUAGAUACCCGGGUAGUCCACGCCGUAAACGAUGAGUACUAGGUGUAGGAGGUAUCGACUCCUUCUGUGCCGCAGUUAAACACAAUAAGUACUCCGCCUGGGAAGUACGGUCGCAAGAUUAAAACUCAAAGGAAUUGACGGGGGCCCGCACAAGCAGCGGAGCAUGUGGUUUAAAUUCGAAGCAACGCGAAGAACCUUACCUAGACUUGACAUCCCCUGAAUAACGUAGAGAUACGCGAAGCCCUUCGGGGCAGGGAGACAGGUGGUGCAUGGUUGUCGUCAGCUCGUGUCGUGAGAUGUUGGGUUAAGUCCCGCAACGAGCGCAACCCUUAUCAUUAGUUGCUACCAUUUAGUUGAGCACUCUAGUGAGACUGCCCGGGUUAACCGGGAGGAAGGCGGGGAUGACGUCAAAUCAUCAUGCCCCUUAUGUCUAGGGCUACACACGUGCUACAAUGGUGAGAACAACGAGAUGCAAUACCGCGAGGUGAGCAAAACUUCAAAACUCAUCUCAGUUCGGAUUGUAGGCUGAAACUCGCC